ACCAGAGUGUCCCGGGUGAAUGGAGGUGGAGGCGGCGGCGGGCGCUAGCUCGCAGGGCUGGGGGUUGGCACCGGCGGCGGGGGAGAAAGGGAGCGAGCGAGCGCGCGAGCGGGGCGCAGGGGUGAGGAUUUCCUAGGGGCUGAGCAGUGCGGGCGGCUCCGUGAGAAAGGCGGACUUUCAGCUGAACUCUCAUCUCUCAACACUGGCAAAUAUUCAUAAGAUCUACCACACCCUUAAUAAGCUAAAUCUAACAGAAGACGUUGGCCAAGACGAUCACCAAACAGGAAGUCUGCGGUCUUGCAGUUCUUCGGACUGCUUUAGUAAAGUGAUGCCGCCGAGGAAAAAGAGAAGACCUGCCUCUGGAGAUGAUUUAUCUGCCAAGAAAAGUAGACACGAUAGCAUGUAUAGAAAAUAUGAUUCAACUAGAAUAAAGACUGAAGAAGAAGCCUUUUCAAGUAAGAGGUGCUUAGAAUGGUUCUAUGAAUAUGCAGGUACUGAUGAUGUUGUAGGUCCUGAAGGCAUGGAGAAAUUUUGUGAAGACAUUGGUGUCGAACCAGAAAACGUAGUUAUGCUUGUCCUAGCUUGGAAACUGGAUGCACAGAACAUGGGUUAUUUUACUCUACAGGAAUGGUUAAAAGGAAUGACUUCUCUACAAUGUGAUACAACAGAAAAACUCAGAAAUACUUUGGAUUACUUAAGAUCAUUAUUAAAUGAUUCUACAAACUUUAAACUUAUUUACAGAUAUGCGUUUGACUUUGCACGGGCGGAAGAUGGUGUUAGUGAUUGCGAGCUGCUGGCUGGCACCCUUGCAGAGCAGGCUGCACCGCAGAAGCACGAGCCCGUGCAGUGCAACAAAACCAGCGAGGCUUGGGGGCAGGAGGUGGGUGCCCUCCAGGGCGCCCCCGCCCCCCGCUGUCAUCCUCUCCACGGAGUGAGCACUGCAGCCCUGAGCAGGACGACACGCCUGGCCGGGGACGGCAGAGCAGGCUGUAGAGAUGGGGCCUCCGCACUGAACUGUGGCCUUGGGGUCCCCCACCAUCCUCAGACUUCAGGAAAAGGACCAGCGCAGCCUAGACAUAAACACUGCCAAGUGCAUGUUGGGACUGUUAUUAGGAAAAAUCUGGCCCCUUUUUCCAGUUUUUCACCAAUUCUUAGAGCAAUCAAAAUAUAAAGUUAUUAACAAAGACCAGUGGUGCAACGUGCUCGAGUUUAGCCGAACAAUUAACCUCGACCUCAGCAACUACGAUGAAGACGGAGCCUGGCCAGUUUUGUUGGACGAGUUUGUGGAGUGGUAUAAAGACAAACAGAUGUCCUAGGACUUUAUGCAUAGCAGCGAGAGAGUCACUGUUGCCACAGUUAUGUCCACCAUUAGCCAUAAAUUGCUGUCUGUACCCAAGCGCAUGCUGCUUUUCUUGCACUGUCCCCCUCCGGCAGGGCCGUGCCGGUGUUUGCUGUGGAAUGGGCCAGCUCUGCGUGCUGUGUAGCAUCGUUCUCUUGGAAGGCUGCUUUGCAGUUCGUAUUUACACUACAGAUUGGUGAAUUUGCCAACGUCCUCACUGUGAUGAUGUGUAUAUUGCUGUUUAAAUUUUGUAUAUGUGUAUAAAAAGAAAAAGCUUCACCUAGAGAUUAUUUCUGCAAAAAUGUAUUGUAAAAUAAUUUUUGUGGCAUAUUUCUAGUCCCUUUUUUCAAAAGAACCAAUUACACUUUUAUUUGGUCUCAAAUGUAGCAUUUCAGAAAACAAGACAGAACAACUGUUCCCAUAUGCAACUGUUGCCAGAAUGACCCUUACUGUUUAAGAGGCCAACUUUGGAAGGAGGCGGGAGUCAUAACUUUGCCGAGGCAUAUGCCAAAUACAAUCUGGUUUACUUAAAUAUUAGCAUUUUUAAAUGACGAAAGCAUAAUUGAACACAUAGAUAUAUAGCAUGCCACAAAUCAUUUCCACCAUGCAGGGUUAUAGGUUUUGAGUUUCUAAUGUUAACGCUAUCAUAGUUUGAAUAUAGGUACAGAUGAACAAGUUAAAAAUGCACCUUUUUUUCUUUUUUUUUUUUUUUGGUUUUAAACUCUUGUAAACUUUUUUAGUGUUUUUUUUCCUUUUGCAUUCUUCUAGUCAGUGUUUGGUCUGCUGAUGCUUCCUCUGCCAUUCUAAGUAAAAUUUAUUUUGCCGCCUCCAUGAAAACCUAAUGGUUUGCUGGCAAUUUAUAACUGCAGAGCACUUUUAGUUGUGGCUUGAAUUUUUAGUUAAGCUUUCAUGGUGUUUAAUUUUCUAGUUUUUUGGGGGGGAAAGAACUAUACUAUAAGUGAGAGGUGUUUUGUUUUGUUUUGUUUUCCUUUUUUGUUUCUUUCACGCUAGGCUUUUCCUGGCAGAAUGUCCAUUGCAGGCAGUGGACACGACACCACCAGCAUUGAGCUAAAAACUCAAUUCACGGUAGGACCUUUCCUGGAGGGGCCGCUCGUCCUUACUUCUGUAAUGUGUACAGAGAGGUGAUAGCCAUUAUUUAUGUGGAUGAGGAAACAAGAGUAAACAGGACGGUAUUUUUAGGUUUGUAUUUUAUGUCUUUUUUUCUUUCUUUCUUUUUUUUUUUCCUUGUCUUACCCUUCUCAAGGAAAUGUAUAAAUAACAUGUUUCUCCCUCAACUAUCUGGUGCUAUUGAAUGACUAAUUUAGUCCCUAAAGUUUUGUGAAAACACAAAAGUCUAAUGACUUAAACCAAGUGAAAGCUAAUGGUGUAUUUGAACAAGUGAAUGUGUAGUUGUGAGCAAAAUCCUUGACUGAACAUGCAGCGGUUGGAAGAGGUUCGGAUUAUUUCAAAAUCUGGCCCCAAAACCUCUUGGGUCAAAUAUGAACCUUUAAAUGGCAUUAAAUGAGUAAAGCACACAGACAAUGCUACUCUUGACCACGAUUUCAGUUUCUUUGCAAACAGUGUUCAGAUUUUCAUAUUAUUUUUUUUCCCUAACUGAACCACCAAAGACAGGAAUUUUGUAUGUAUAUACAGUGUGUGUGCAUAUACAAAAUCAUGAUGUGGUAGAAUGAAAUUCCUUCCUUUUUCUACCAAAUAGAAAGGUUUGGUUUGCUGUGAAAUAAACCAGAAGUUUGAAAAACUCUUUAGUGAUUAAGCAUACUUAAUCAUUCCGUUUAGAAGUUGUAGACUCCUUUCUACCUUACACAUUCAUACCAGUUUGCACAAAUUCAUAUCUGUAAAGGAUAGAAGAUGUUGACGGCAAACACAGCUCCUGAGACCAACAUGUUGAAAGGGCUUCCGUUCCGCCGGGUGCCUGCUGCUCCAGUGGCCACUGGCUAUAGGCAGGUUCCGGUGUGCGGAGAACUUGAGUCAUUUUCAAAAGGAUCCUGUAAAGUUAACAAAUCACACUUUAAAGGCAGCAGUUCUUAAAUUGGAUCAACUCUAGUUUUGUUUAGAGCAAAUAUAAAUCAUAGAUGAAAUUGUUUUAAAAGGUAUUGUUAGAAACGAGAAUUUUUUAAACGCUAAGCACAGGUAAUCCUAAAAUAAAAGGAUUGUUACAGGGAAGAUGUUACAUUUUAACCACAGUGAGCAUUUUGAUGAUAAGGGUUUUGGAAAAGCCAAGUAAAAACUCUUUCGUGAUGUAUAUUAUGGAAGUAAGUAUUCCAAAGGGAUAACCUUGCAUAUUUAGAAGAGUCCAAGUAAUCUUUGAACUCCCUUGAAAAAUAAAUCUUUGUGACUGCAGAGUGCUUGCGCUUGGUUUUCUUUAUUUUAUGCAGUUAUUUUUAAGGGGAAGAAAAGGGGCCAGAGUAAUAAGAUACUUUUUCUCAAAAAUGUCCCUAAGUUACGUAAGGUUGAGCAGUCACCAAGCACUUAUUUGUGGGCAAAUGCUAAGUGAAUGAGGGUGCCUUUUUCUGGCUUUUCUUUAUCACCUACGUCUCCACCCUUUCUCUCUUUCCAUCAUGUUUUGAACUCCACGUUGCAAUACUCUGUCAUAAUGGAAUACAACUUGUAGAUGUUUACUGCUGCGGUAGGUCGGAAAUUUCAUUAUUUGAUUUGCCAUAACCACCCUCUGUAACGUUAUGUGCAGCUUAUUUGAAGCAUGACCUCUGAAUUAAGUUUUUACAAAUCUGACUAGACAAACCUCUAGAUUCUAAAUUCACAACAGACUUCUGUUGCCUCUCAGUCUCCAUCUUAACAGUGCUUUUGAAGUUUAUACAGAAAGCUUUAAAAGUUAGUUUGUGCCCUUGGUUUUUAUUCUUACAACUGCUAAAAUACCUCUGUAAGCCUUAUCUUUUAUUCUUUCAUACGGUGUAUAAUAAAUGUAUAGAAUUCAUUGACCAACUAAAAGGUUGGGUGUCUGUAAAUGAGACCAAAACGUGGGUUGCUUUUUUUCAUGAAGUCCUUUCUCUCGGGGGUUACUGUUAGUGAACAGCAGCCAACCUGUAACUGUGAAUGCUUCGUGUCGUCAGUAUUUGCAUUACCUUCAUGAACGUGUGCAAGUCCUGUGACUCCCAGCUUAACUGAAAUACUGUUAUGCCACCUAACUUGAGUACAGCAAACUGGUUUUAGAUUUUAAUGGAAUUGAUGUAAAACGAUACCCCAUAAAUAAAAAAGUAUUUGUGUUUGG